UACAGAGGUCUCAAGCGUUUGUUCGGAUUCAUUGGGCGUAAAGGGUGCGUAGGUGGCGCCGUAAGUCGGGGUGUGAAAUUUCGGAGCUUAACUCCGAAACUGCAUUCGAUACUGCGGUGCUUGAGGACUGGAGAGGAGACUGGAAUUUAUGGUGUAGCAGUGAAAUGCGUAGAGAUCAUAAGGAAGACCAGUGGCGAAGGCGGGUCUCUGGACAGUUCCUGACACUGAGGCACGAAGGCCAGGGGAGCAAACGGG
rnacentral:rRNA from 1 species